UGCGUAGGCGGCGGCAUAAGUCAGAAGUGAAAGUUGGCAGCUUAACUGCAAAAUUGCUUUUGAUACUGUGUUGCUUGAAUCACGUUGAGGCUGGCGGAAUGUGGCAUGUAGCGGUGAAAUGCUUAGAUAUGCCAUAGAACACCAAUUGCGAAGGCAGCUGGCUAGACGUGUAUUGACGCUGAGGCACAAAAGCGUGGGGAGCGAACAGGAUUAGAUACCCUGGUAGUCC
rnacentral:rRNA from 1 species